AGAAUCAACGCUGGCGGCGUGCCUAACACAUGCAAGUCGAACGAGAAAGUGGUAGCAAUACCAUGAGUAAAGUGGCGCACGGGUGAGUAACACGUGACUAACCUACCCUUGAGUGGGGGAUAACUGAGGGAAACCUUAGCUAAUACCGCAUAAUACCCACGGGUCAAAGGAGCAAUUCGCUCGAGGAGGGGGUCGCGGCCGAUUAGUUAGUUGGCAGGGGUAAUGGCCUACCAAGACGAUGAUCGGUA
rnacentral:rRNA from 1 species